AAGGAGUUUUAGGUUGGAGUGUAUAAAAGGGAUCGCACAUUUGGGGAAAUCAACUUGGAUCGACAAGCAGUUGCCAAGCCGUUUCGUUGUGAAGAAUUCUCCCAGAGAGCCUCAUCAUGAUUACCAAGGUUGCAAUCCUGACUCUUGUUGCAAUAAGCAUCAAUGGCUGUUUUGGUAUCCCCGCGAUCCA